rnacentral:lncRNA from 1 species
AUGGACCCGAUGUUAGACAAAAAGCAAAUUCAACUGUUUUCUUAUUUGGGUUUAAAAUGGGUCAUAAAGCAGCAGAGACAGCUGGCGACAUCGGCCACUCGUCUGACCCAGGAACGCUAAGGAAGGCACAAUGCGGUGCUGGGUGAAGAUGCUUCAUAGAGGAGAGGAGUCCCUGAAGAUGCAGAGCACUGUGGCAGCAUCAGAAGCUGACAAUGACCAAUUGAGAGCGGCCAGCAGAGCCAGUCCUCUUACAGCUGCAGAACUCACGGUGUGCCAGUCAAUGGCCAUUUGGCUUUUGAAGCAAAUUGGGAAAGUGUAAACGCUUGAUAAAUAGUUGCCUCUUGAGUGAAAAUGAAAGCCACUGUUGUGUCAUUCUUACGCAAUACAGCAGUGGGCCUGGCCUGUUGGACUGUGAUGUGUGCCAAAAAUGGUUUACGUACAACCGCCAGUGUUGACUCUCUGAGUGGCUGGCCUGAGAAGCAGUCGCAGAGCAUGUUCCAAAGUCAGAUUCACACCAAAAGAGGGUCAUGCUUCGGUGGUCUGCUGCCGAUCUGAUGCAGGUUUCUGCAUCCCAGCACUGUCAGUACAUCUGACGAGUGUGCUCGCAGACUAUUGAGAUGCCGAGACUGACACCACCUGCAGCUCACAGUGUCCACAGGAAGGGCCAGGUCUUCUUCAUGACAGCACCCAGGAGGCUGCACCGUGCACAACCAGUACUUCAGAAGGAAAGGAAAUGAGCUAUGAGGAAAAGCCUCUUCUACCAUAUUCACCUGACUUCUCACCAAGCAACUUCCACUCAAGUAUCUCAACAAAUAUUUGUAAGAUAAAUACUUUAUAGCCAGCAGGAUGCAGAAAACACUUCCCAACAGUUC